AGAGUUUGAUCCUGGCUCAGGACGAACGCUGGCGGCGUGCCUAAUACAUGCAAGUCGAGCUAACUUUUGGGAGCUUGCUCCCAAAAGUUAGCGGCGGACGGGUGAGUAACACGUGGGCAACCUGCCUAUAAGACUGGGAUAACUUCGGGAAACCGGAGCUAAUACCGGAUCAUUCUUUCCUACACAUGUAGGAAAGCUAAAAGACGGUUUACGCUGUCACUUAUAGAUGGGCCCGCGGCGCAUUAGCUAGUUGGUGAGGUAACGGCCCACCAAGGCCACGAUGCGUAGCCGACCUGAGAGGGUGAUCGGCCACACUGGGACUGAGACACGGCCCAGACUCCUACGGGAGGCAGCAGUAGGGAAUCUUCCGCAAUGGACGAAAGUCUGACGGAGCAACGCCGCGUGAGUGAUGAAGGUUUUCGGAUCGUAAAACUCUGUUGUUAGGGAAGAACAAGUAUGAGAGUAACUGCUCGUACCUUGACGGUACCUAACCAGAAAGCCACGGCUAACUACGUGCCAGCAGCCGCGGUAAUACGUAGGUGGCAAGCGUUGUCCGGAAUUAUUGGGCGUAAAGCGCGCGCAGGCGGUCCUUUAAGUCUGAUGUGAAAGCCCACGGCUCAACCGUGGAGGGUCAUUGGAAACUGG
rnacentral:rRNA from 1 species